GAGUGAAGCGGCAACAGCUCAAAUUUGAAAUCUGGCGCUUGCGCCCGAGUUGUAAUUUGCAGAGGAUGAUUUCAGGCGAGGCGCCUACCGAGUUCCCUGGAACGGGACGCCAAAGAGGGUGACAGCCCCGUAAGGUCAGGUGCCGAGCCGCUAUAAAUCUCCUUCUACGAGUCGAGUAGUUUGGGAAUGCUGCUCUAAAUGGGAGGUAAACUCCUUCUAAAGCUAAAUAUUGGCCAGAGACCGAUAGCGCACAAGUAGAGUGAUCGAAAGAUGAAAAGCACUUUGGAAAGAGAGUCAAAUAGCACGUGAAAUUGUUGAAAGGGAAGCGCUUAAGAUCAGACUUGGACCUGUAGUUCAGCCGUCCUUCUGGGCGGUGUACUCUGCAGGUUCAGGCCAGCAUCAGUUGUUACGGGGGCAGAAAAGCCUGGAAAUGUGGCUCCUAGGAGUGUUAUAGCCCGUCGCGCAAUGCCCUUCCGGGGACCGAGGUUCGCGCUCUGCAAGGAUGCUGGCGUAAUGGUCAUCAGCGACCCGUCUUGAAACACGGACCAAGGAGUCGAACGUUUGUGCGAGUGUUUGGGUGUCAAACCCCUACGCGAAAUGAAAGUGAACGGAGGU
rnacentral:rRNA from 1 species